rnacentral:lncRNA from 1 species
CUGUUAAGAAUAUCAGUUGUUCCCCUGUGGGCGUGGUCAGACACACCUGUAGCCAGCCCCUAGCAGGCGGGGUUACAGUGUCCCCUACAUUCCCCUUCUACCCUAACUCUGCAAUGCAUGCAUAGUUGCAUAAGCACGCUAGGCUAGAAGAUAAGUCCCCCGAGUGAACGGUUAGCUGACCACAUCCUUGUUGCUUCAUAGAGGACUUGAGAGCAAAGGACAGACGUAACAGAGGACGGUCCAAACAACCUGGGAAGCAGAGGAAACGGACAGCCCAUGAGCAAAGUCAUUUCACAGGAGCAAAGACAGCAGGCAUGGCAAGAGUCCUCUUCUAACCACUGACUGGGCAGCCUGAGCUCCUCAUCGGAAUCAUUGGUUGGACUGAUGGAAGAUUCCCACCUCCAGGGGUCACUGCAAGAUAUGUGCCACAGAAUUGACCAAGGCUGUGCAAUUGAACUCAAGUUCUGAAACGAUUUGCCUAAAAUGUCUUGGAUUGACAGUGAAGGCAAAUGGAUGGAACUAGCAGAAAUCAUCUUGAGUGAAGUCAUCCAGGCCCAGAAAGACAAGCAUGUUAGCAUUGUGGCGGUUGACCAGUUUCGAAAAGGCUCCACUGUCUUUAUUUCACACACACCUGAAUGGGAUGAAGUUCAGGCUACAUUUCUGAGCAAAAGGAUGUGGCCAAAUCUGGACAUCAACUACUGGGGUGCCCAGAUGUUAAGCCGUCAGUGAAUUGGGGAUCUGUAACUCCUGGGCUUGACAAACACUGUUGCCUCUUGUAUGUUGCUCUUUCCAGAUCAUGCAAGCUUUCUGUUUCUGCUUCUCAUGUCCUAAGCAGGCUGAUGGGAGAACAUGCUUGUCAGGUCACCAUGCUGUGACAGGGGCACAUACACCUGAAACUAGAAGAAAAUAUUUGGUUCACCACCCUCCCCCCAAUAGCAAAAGCCCCAUUGUGUCUGAAGAAUGAACUCAAUUGCCUGGUUUAUGCUGUCAGCCCUGCAAAGAGUCUAAAUUGAUUUUCACUCAAAGCAAGACUGAAAAGGCCAAGUGCUUGCCAGACUCCAAAUUGCUGAACUGUCUGCAAAGUCUCACGGAGGCCCAGG